rnacentral:lncRNA from 1 species
AGAGGUUCACAUCUUUUUUUACUGCAAUAGCCAAAAUGGUUUAUCCUCCCCAAAAUUAUUCAGUAACCAAAGCCAAAGAAAAUUUUGUAGCGUGGUGGUGGUGGCGUGGUGCCGGUGCAGCUGAAAAUUUUGUGGCCACCGCCAAAGAGACAUUUUUACACAAGCAGUAGAAAGCUCACAUUGACGGGAUCAUGGGAAAGCAUGCAAAGUGCAGAUCAGCAGAUGCAACUGCAGACCGCGAGACAGUAGAACGCGUGACUGCUGGUUCUCUGAUUAACACAACUCUGCUACUCCAUCCCAUAGUCCACGCUCGAGGUCACUCCAACUGAUAUAUGAAUAUAUGAUGUACAACUUCUCCGCCGCCAUGGAGAAGAAGGGAUCGUCUGCUGAUCAGAUCAUCGACGGUAGAUGCUAAUGCUGCGCAGGCACGUAUAGGCUUGCCUGGAACUGGAACGGACGGGGAACAAUUGGGACGGUUUCAUUUAGGGAUGAAAACGGGACGGAUACAGCCGGAUACAGGGUCAUCCCGUAUCCUACCCUAAUGUAUUUUUCUCGGAUAUGGGACCGGAUACGGGUAGUUAAGAUUCGGGACGGAUACAGGACGGGAUCGGGUAAUAAUCUGGACGGGUAAGAAACGGAUAACAGAUAUUACUCGGAUAGGUACCGGAUAAUUGUCGGGUAGUUCAUCCGAUGAUAUUAAUUGUCCAACCAUCCAUAAGUUAAGCAAUACAUAAUCAUGUAUAUGAUAGAUCAUAUGUAAGAAAGGAAACCGGUAAAAUUGACAUCAUGCAGUUCAAAGUUGCUUAUCACAAGGACAUUGUAGAACCAACACCGCAAUAUUUAAAAUUCAUAAAAUAUUCUAGUUUCACUAAAAUAUUGUAAAUAAGUUAAAAAAACUAAUAAACAUUUUAUAUGAAGAUAACUCAAGUCCUCGUAUGAAAAUGAUAAAGUGAAGUACUGAUUAUGUUGAAACUUGGAUACUUACACUAAUUUCACAUGUAACUCGUACAAAUAAGUGAAAGUGAAAGGAAAGAAACGUGGGCAUCUUAUAGAUCUUAUGAUCUAAACAUUUUUCAUGGUUACAUAUGGACAUAUGUUGUAUCUCCGUAAAUUUUCACGAUUUUUUGAGGCUAUUUAUGUAUUAUUAAUUUCUUGUCAUAGAAAACUAUCAAAAUACAAUUAAAUCAUUAAAAUAUUGUUUAAACAAAAAAUUGAUGUAUUACAAAGUCAUAGAUCUCUUCAAGCUCUACAAUUUUCAUAUAAACUUUAUCUUCAUCCGAUUUCAUAUGUAAAAGUUAUGAUUUUAUUACUAUAUUAUGCAGAAAAAGAAAAAACGGGUACCCGAAUUCCGGGUACCCGUAUCCGACCCGGGAUUUUCGGGUACUGACCGGGUAUUAGGGAUUCCGUAUCCUACCCGUAUCCGAGGUUCAAUAUCCGGGUAAUACCCGUAUCCGUCCCGACAAACAAAAUACCCGUAUCCGUAUCCGAAAUUACGUCCCGUUUUGGUACCCGUAUCCGAUACCCGUUCCGGGUACCCGUCCCGUUUUCAUCCCUAGUUUCAUUGGCCAGUCAGGGCUGAGACCACCUCGGUCUUCUUCCCGUACAUCACGUUCCACAAGUCCAGCGGUCGGGUACAACGGCUACUGCUCUGCCGCCGCGGCGAGCGGGGCAGACGUGUACGGUGUAGCAGCGAUGUGCGGUGCCGCGUGUCCCGCCGCCUGUAGGAACCGCUCGACGCCGAGGUGCGGCAGGAGGAGGCUGAGGCCGAGUCCGUCCUGCUGCGGCGGCUGCAGGUUGGCCUCGUCGGCGCCGGUGACGCGCUGCACCAUGGCGCGGAAGGUGGCGGCGUCGGUGCUGAUGUACGUGGUGGGCGCGCGCUUGGACGGCCGCGGCCGGCGCCGCUUCCCCGCGUGCCCGCCCGCCGGGCCCAGCCGGCACCGCGUGGACGAGGACGGCGACGCUACGCCCGUCGAGGUACAGUCCAUCACUGCCACGACGCCUUGCAUCAGCAUCGCCGCUGUCGCCGUGGCGACGAGGCCAGAGGUAAGGCGGGCCGAUGGAGCGGAGCUAGCCGGCACGGGCGACGACUGGGAUGUGUGGGGCUGGCGGCGAGUUUGGGAGGAGCCGAGGAGGCAUGGGCGCGGUGGGACUGGAGGUCGGACGUGGACCAUUGGAAGAUGAAUUUGAGUAAGUUUUCGGGUCCGUGUCGGCACAACACACAGGCCGGCGUGGCAGCAUCUGCUGUGAGGAAAUGGCAUGGGGUUUCAAUCGGAUGGCUGACCUUUUCUGGAUGACGUGGCUGCUGUGAGGCACUGAGAAUCCUCGUAGCUAUUAAGACACUGAGAAUCCUCACAUUGACGGGAUCAUGGGAAAGCAUGCAAAGUGCAGAUCAGCAGAUGCAACUGCAGACCGCGAGACAGUAGAACGCGUGACUGCUGGUUCUCUGAUUAACACAACUCUGCUACUCCAUCCCAUAGUCCACGCUCGAGGUCACUCCAACUGAUAUAUGAAUAUAUGAUGUACAACUUCUCCACCGCCAUGAAGAAGGGAUCGUCUGCUGAUCAGAUCAUCGACGGUAGAUGCUAAUGCUGCGCAGGCACGUAUAGGCUUGCCUGGAACUGGAACGGACGGGGAACAAUUGGGACGGUUUCAUUGGCCAGUCAGGGCUGAGACCACCUCGGUCUUCUUCCUGUACAUCACGUUCCACAAGUCCAGCGGUCGGGUACAACGGCUACUGCUCUGCCGCCGCGGCGAGCGGGGCAGACGUGUACGGUGUAGCAGCGAUGUGCGGUGCCGCGUGUCCCGCCGCCUGUAGGAACCGCUCGACGCCGAGGUGCGGCAGGAGGAGGCUGAGGCCGAGUCCGUCCUGCUGCGGCGGCUGCAGGUUGGCCUCGUCGGCGCCGGUGACGCGCUGCACCAUGGCGCGGAAGGUGGCGGCGUCGGUGCUGAUGUACAUGGUGGGCGCGCGCUUGGACGGCCGCGGCCGGCGCCGCUUCCCCGCGUGCCCGCCCGCCGGGCCCAGCCGGCACCGCGUGGACGAGGACAGCGACGCUACGCCCGUCGAGGUACAGUCCAUCACUGCCACGACGCCUUGCAUCAGCAUCGCCGCUGUCGCCGUGGUGACGAGGCCAGAGGUAAGGUGGGCCGAUGGAGCGGAGCUAGCCGGCACGGGCGACGACUAGGAUGUGUGGGGCUGGCUGCGAGUUUGGGAGGAGCCGAGGAGGCAUGGGCGCGGUGGGACUGGAGGUCGGACGUGGACCAUUGGAAGCUGAAUUUGAGUAAGUUUUCGGGUCCGUGUCGACACAACACACAGGCCGGCGUGGCAGCAUCUGCUGUGAGGAAAUGGCAUGGGGUUUCAAUCGGAUGGCUGACCUUUUCUGGACGACGUGGCUGCCGUGAGGCACUGAGAAUCCUUGUAGCUAUUAAGACACUGAGAAUCCUCACAUUGACGGGAUCAUGGGAAAGCAUGCAAAGUGCAGAUCAGCAGAUGCAACUGCAGACCGCAAGACAGUAGAACGCGUGACUGCUGGUUCUCUGAUUAACACAACUCUGCUACUCCAUCCCAUAGUCCACGCUCGAGGUCACUCCAACUGAUAUAUGAAUAUAUGAUGUACAACUUCUCCACCGCCAUGAAGAAGGGAUCGUCUGCUGAUCAGAUCAUCGACGGUAGAUGCUAAUGCUGCGCAGGCACGUAUAGGCUUGCCUGGAACUGGAACGGACGGGGAACAAUUGGGACGGUUUCAUUGGCCAGUCAGGGCUGAGACCACCUCGGUCUUCUUCCCGUACAUCACGUUCCAC